CCCCACUCACGUGCACACUCUCAAAAAAUGUAAAAAAAAAAGGCUUUUGGAAAAAUAAUAGAAAUAUGUUUUUUAUAUCCUACUUAAAUUACUAGGAAAAACGUCAUAGCGUAAGAUUGAGAAAUUGGAACUGAGCUGUGAAUGGGAUGUGCUACAUUUAGCAAUGGUCAUUUUUGCUGUUGCUAGAAAUGUUCAGGCAGAAUACAGAUGAGUAUUUGGUGUAUCUGUUGUAUUUGGGGGUGUGGGGUGUCUCAAGCAUUAAACGAUUAGGUUCUAGAUAACCGCUAUCUUAACUGAGCAUUUUCCUAUGCUAGGCUCUGUGGCAAACACUUAAAUACUAUGUAAUAAGGAAGGGGUAGUUUCCACUGCUCCUUUAAGUAGGUAAGUGAAGUUCAUGGUGGUUUGUUGUUGGGGUCACCCGUGAUGGGACAGACCUGAAAUUUAGAUCUAGGUCUGUCUAUCUUCAAGUCUCCCUAGACACUAUAAUGUCUCUGGAUUUGCAGUGGCCUUUAACAGCUCCCACCAGGAAGACGCUUUGGAGUUUCACAAACCACAACUUUAGUGAUUUUGCUGUUGUUUUUCCCCUGGAGAACUAGGCCCUGAGGUAAAACAAACACAGCCACACAAUAUAAACCAUCCUAAACGAUAUCAUGUCAUGUUUUGCAUAACAGGUAAGUCAAUGGCAGAUAAUGUUAGACAGGAUCAAGUCUAUCCACACGAUAAAUGAUGUAGCCACAAGGUGUCCUCGUAAACUACACAUGGAACAGGACCAACGUGUACACUGCCCUCAUUCGGGCAUUUACACGAGUAUGUUAAGCACUGACAACGUCAAGACAAAUGAAAUCAAAUCCCUCCUCAUAAGGGGUUCGCAACCUAAAGGAAGAGACCCGUACGCAGACCACUGCAGUGGGAGGGUUCCUGGAGAAGAGAGUACAGGUGGCUUGAAGGGCAUCUAACUUUAAUGGAGUAUGUUUUUAGAGAACAGACAUUAGGAAAGGCCUCCUGAGGGACAGGGAGGAGUGAGCCAAGUGAAGAUGGGGAGCAAGCCAGACAGUUCAGGGAAGAGAACUGAAGGCAGUUGGGUGCCAUGUGAAGGCCUCGCGUGUUGAGUAGAAAUCAGUUAGAGAUUAUCGGACUUCGGCGGGGGUGACAGGAGGCCGUGCAAAUGUCAGCUUGACUUUCUACUGCAGAAUACAGUUUUUGACGGUUUUUCUUUCCCCCAACUUGAAAGGCCAAAGGACACAGUGGUACACACGAGUGGUUUAAAAUACACACUGGAGUAGAGAGAAUUUUGUUCCCGUCAGCCUGAUCCUGCAAAAGAAAUGCUUUUAUGUGUCGCCCUCUGUCGUCUCCCUGGGUAAAAUACAGGAAUUAAGCCACUGGAAGCUAACAAAGGCAUCGAUGUCGGAGCCAGCCCCCAAAGCUAAUCAAUAGUCUCGUUGGGGAAGAGGCCCACGGAGAGCUAACCUCUCUCUGAUGAGGAAGGGGGGUAUGAGGAGAAUCCUGUUAAAAAAAGAGAGCACAAAUGAUCUUGGUCUCAGUCAAGAUACGGGUUAUAGGGGACACGCUUGUUUGUUUGGUUAUUAACCACGGCUAACUUUGGGUUCGAGACCACACUCCGCGACGCUGCACGCAUUGUUUCCACCCGCACCCAGAUCUCUGAAGUGGGUCCUGUUGUUUUCAUCGGCCUCCCACAUCUCAGGUUUAACUCCUCUGCAGAAUCACCUCCCUUCACGGCUCACCUGGACUGCUGCGGGCAACCGGGUCCUGAUGCGUCGGGUGUCACGCGGAAGGAUAGCUGCCACGCCUGUUACGAUGCAGCGGGGCCGAAACCAACAAUGCUGAGAAGCACCCAGAUACGUUCCAUUCUCUGGGCCACCGCGGUACGAUGGCAAGAACCUUUAUGGCUCAGCCCAGUCCAACACGUGGGCUCCUCGGUUUAUAGGAAAAAUUACGUAUGUGUGCCCACAUACGAUCACCUGUCCCUUUUCUGCACAGCCUGCAGCGGACUGCCUCUCCUCGGUUCCUCACGUGUUCACACGAGUUCCCACGGCUCCUGCCGCCAACCCUCCUUCCUCAUCCCGCACACCCAGGCUCCGAUCCCAUCGCCGAUAACCGUCUCCCCGUUCCUCCCUUACCUUUCCAGGAAAGACAGUGAGAAGGAAUGCCUGAUAAUCAGCACGAAGGAGAUGGCCCCCAACAGGAAGCUCCGUGCGGACCCCAGAGUUCUCCUUAGGCCUUGACGUUUCCGGUCAUCCUGGUCCUGGUCCUGGUCCACAGUCAUCACUGUGACUGCUGGUGAUCGCUGUGCCGCUCACCACCCUGCCUCUGCUAAUGAAUGAAGACGUGUGUGUUCUCUGGCUCAGUGAGGGUGUCUGCCACGGGCCUAAAGGAGCGUGGCACGUGGCCUGAGAAAAUCUGUGUAUGUAACCACGCGAGUCAGCCACGGAAGGACGCGGAAUACGAAAGACCGCGCUUAACACACAAAAGCACCGAGAACCGAGGAGGAGGUUCUACACCCAGCCAGGAACCCAACACCAGCUUUGAACCCAUGACACCGAGAUCAAGAGUCAGACUGAGCUAACCAACUGAGCUAGCCACUCAGGUGCCCUGGAUUUCGACAUUUAUUGUAUCUCUUGCCAUAAAGAGUUUAAAUUCGUGAAAUGCACAGUGCCAGACACAUAGUAAAUGCUAUUAUUGUAAAUAAAUAUAACAAUUUCUAAUUUUAUAAAGUCAUACGCAUCAUUUAAUGACAUGCUCCUAUGAUAAGUCAUUUUUUUAAAAUGUGCCUUCUUUACAUAGAGCUAUAAGGGAUUUCUUUCACCAGUUCCCCUAUGGUUAGAUAUUUAGGUCGAUGAUGGUUAAUGGUUGCACAACAAUGUGAAUGCAAUUAAUACUGAAUUGUACACUUUAAAGUGGCUAAGAUGACAAAUUUUACAUCAUGUAUAUUUUGCUGCAAUUUUUUUUUU